GGAAAGCACUGAUGAGAUUAUAUGGAAAUAAAAAAAUUAUAAGGCAACUAAUGAAGAUAAAGCAAUUAUAGAAAACAUUAUUCACAGCUAUACAAUUGACAUUCUUUUAGACUCUUGAGAUUUGAAAUUAAGAAAUUAAGGUUUGCCAAACUGGUUUGCAGUAUCCCUUCUGAAAUCCUGAUCAAAACCACAGCUAGCAAUUUGACCUAAUCAAUUAUAGACAA
rnacentral:misc_RNA from 1 species